CAUCUGUAAGCUUUCUGAGAGUGCCUCAUCUAAAACUCCUCCUACUUUUCAUCUUUGGAAGAGUCCAAAUCAAGAAGAAGGAGGCAUCUGAUUGACCAUCGAAGAAGGAUCAGCGCAGUACUAGCAUACUGUACUGAUUUCCUAGAUCAGGACUUCUGAUCGUGAUUCUGGGCUCGUGCGGACGACUUCUAGAGGCCGGAUGCGUGUGUGGCUCGCAACAUCAUCCUCAAGCCCAGAUCAGUAAAGUUAAAACAUCU
rnacentral:lncRNA from 1 species